AUUGAACGCUGGCGGCAUGCUUUACACAUGCAAGUCGAACGGCAGCACGGGUGCUUGCACCUGGUGGCGAGUGGCGGACGGGUGAGUAAUGCAUCGGAACGUGUCCUGAAGUGGGGGAUAACGCAUCGAAAGAUGUGCUAAUACCGCAUAUUCUCUGAGGAGGAAAGUAGGGGAUCGAAAAGACCUUAUGCUUUUGGAGCGGCCGAUGUCUGAUUAGCUAGUUGGUAGGGUAAUGGCUUACCAAGGCGACGAUCAGUAGUUGGUCUGAGAGGACGACCAGCCACACUGGGACUGAGACACGGCCCAGACUCCUACGGGAGGCAGCAGUGGGGAAUUUUGGACAAUGGGCGCAAGCCUGAUCCAGCAAUGCCGCGUGAGUGAAGAAGGCCCUUGGUGUUAAAGGCUCUUUCAGUUGAGAAGAAAAGUACGACGACUAAUAA
rnacentral:rRNA from 1 species